GUCUACGGCCAUGCCACCCUGCACAAGCCCAAUCCCGUCUAAUCUCGGAAGCUAAGCAGGGUUGGUCCUGGUUAGUACUUGGAUGGGAGACCACCAAGAAAGACCAAGUGCUGUAGGCA
rnacentral:rRNA from 1 species